CAGCAGCCGCGGUAAAACGUAGGGUGCAAGCGUUAAUCGGAAUUACUGGGCGUAAAGCGUGCGCAGGCGGUUAUAUAAGACAGAUGUGAAAUCCCCGGGCUCAACCUGGGAACUGCAUUUGUGACUGUAUAGCUAGAGUACGGCAGAGGGGGAUGGAAUUCCGCGUGUAGCAGUGAAAUGCGUAGAUAUGCGGAGGAACACCGAUGGCGAAGGCAAUCCCCUGGGCCUGUACUGACGCUCAUGCACGAAAGCGUGGGGAGCAAACAGGAUUAGAUACCCCAGUAGUCCCUGUCUCUUAUAA
rnacentral:rRNA from 1 species